rnacentral:rRNA from 1 species
UACAGAGGGUGCAAGCGUUGAUCGGAAUUACUGGGCGUAAAGCGUGCGCAGGCGGUUGUGUAAGACAGAUGUGAAAUCCCCGGGCUCAACCUGGGAACUGCAUUUGUGACUGCACGGCUCGAGUGCGGCAGAGGGGGAUGGAAUUCCGCGUGUAGCAGUGAAAUGCGUAGAUAUGCGGAGGAACACCGAUGGCGAAGGCAAUCCCCUGGGCCUGCACUGACGCUCAUGCACGAAAGCGUGGGGAGCAAACAGG